CAUGCAUUUGAUCUAUUGGGAAUUUAUUGCUAUGUAAGGGCUUACCAUUUAUUUCUUUUGUCACAUUUAUGUUGUAUCCUUCUCUUCCAGGUGGCUCAGGGCACCACACACAGGAUUAUUCAAGUCUAUAAUCACAGCCAUCCUGAGAGGGUGAAAUCUAACGGACUAUUUCCGGACAACAACCAGGAGGCGUGUGAUUUCCCCUGAGCACCCUCAAAAUCGGUUCCAGGGACUGGGGGAUGCUCUGGAGCAGAUUAUCAGGAGACUUCAGAUAACAUGACCUUUGGAGGUGCAAUAAGUGGUGGACUAAAGCAGUAAAACUGGAUACAGAAAAUAGAACAAAAGCAAGUAACAAGUAUUAAGGAAGAGCUUUCUCUGAUGUGCUUCCAUGGCAAGAUAUUUUCAUGGAUCAGGAAGAAUGGCAUUGGUCUGAUUGUUUAUAUCAG